rnacentral:rRNA from 1 species
UACGUAGGGGGCAAGCGUUGUCCGGAAUCAUUGGGCGUAAAGAGCUCGUAGGCGGUUCGUCGCGUCGGCUGUGAAAACCCGGGGCUCAACUUCGGGCUUGCAGGCGAUACGGGCAGACUUGAGUGUUUCAGGGGAGACUGGAAUUCCUGGUGUAGCGGUGAAAUGCGUAGAUAUCUGGAGGAACACCGGUGGCGAAGGCGGCAUCCUGGACCAUUACUGACGCUGAGUGAGCGAAAGCCAGGGGAGCAAACGGG